GACGAACGCUGGCGGCGUGCUUAACACAUGCAAGUCGAACGAUGAAGCCGGAGCUUGCUCCGGUGGAUUAGUGGCGAACGGGUGAGUAACACGUGAGCAAUCUGCCCUUGACUCUGGGAUAACUGCGGGAAACUGUAGCUAAUACCGGAUACGACACCUUGGGGCAUCCCAGGGUGUGGAAAGAAUUUCGGUCAAGGAUGAGCUCGCGGCCUAUCAGCUAGUUGGUGAGGUAAUGGCUCACCAAGGCGACGACGGGUAGCCGGCCUGAGAGGGUGACCGGCCACACUGGAACUGAGACACGGUCCAGACUCCUACGGGAGGCAGCAGUGGGGAAUAUUGCACAAUGGGCGAAAGCCUGAUGCAGCAACGCCGCGUGAGGGAUGAAGGCCUUCGGGUUGUAAACCUCUUUUAGCAGGGAAGAAGCGAAAGUGACGGUACCUGCAGAAAAAGCACCGGCUAACUACGUGCCAGCCGCCGCCGUAA
rnacentral:rRNA from 1 species